rnacentral:rRNA from 1 species
UGGGGAAUUUUGGACAAUGGGCGAAAGCCUGAUCCAGCAAUGCCGCGUGCAGGAAGAAGGCCUUCGGGUUGUAAACUGCUUUUGUACGGAACGAAAAGGCUCUUUCUAAUAAAGGGGGCUCAUGACGGUACCGUAAGAAUAAGCACCGGCUAACUACGUGCCAGCAGCCGCGGUAAUACGUAGGGUGCGAGCGUUAAUCGGAAUUACUGGGCGUAAAGCGUGCGCAGGCGGUUAUAUAAGACAGAUGUGAAAUCCCCGGGCUCAACCUGGGAACUGCAUUUGUGACUGUAUAGCUAGAGUACGGCAGAGGGGGAUGGAAUUCCGCGUGUAGCAGUGAAAUGCGUAGAUAUGCGGAGGAACACCGAUGGCGAAGGCAAUCCCCUGGACCUGUACUGACGCUCAUGCACGAAAGCGUGGGGAGCAAACAGGAUUAGAUACCCAUGUAGUCCCUGAGCGGGCUGGCAAGGCGCAU